rnacentral:rRNA from 1 species
UACGUAGGGAGCAAGCGUUGUUCGGAUUUACUGGGCGUAAAGGGCGCGUAGGCGGCGCGGUAAGUCACUUGUGAAAUCUCUGAGCUUAACUCAGAACGGCCAAGUGAUACUGCAGUGCUAGAGUGCAGAAAGGGCAAUCGGAAUUCUUGGUGUAGCGGUGAAAUGCGUAGAUAUCAGGAGGAACACCGGUGGCGAAGGCGGUUCUCUGGGCCUUACCUGACACUGAGGAGCGAAAGCGUGGGGGAGCGAACAGG